rnacentral:rRNA from 1 species
UGGGGAAUAUUGCACAAUGGGCGCAAGCCUGAUGCAGCCAUGCCGCGUGUGUGAAGAAGGCCUUCGGGUUGUAAAGCACUUUCAGCGAGGAGGAAGGUGGUGAGCUUAAUACGCUCAUCAAUUGACGUUACUCGCAGAAGAAGCACCGGCUAACUCCGUGCCAGCAGCCGCGGUAAUACGGAGGGUGCAAGCGUUAAUCGGAAUUACUGGGCGUAAAGCGCACGCAGGCGGUUUGUUAAGUCAGAUGUGAAAUCCCCGGGCUCAACCUGGGAACUGCAUUUGAAACUGGCAAGCUAGAGUCUCGUAGAGGGGGGUAGAAUUCCAGGUGUAGCGGUGAAAUGCGUAGAGAUCUGGAGGAAUACCGGUGGCGAAGGCGGCCCCCUGGACGAAGACUGACGCUCAGGUGCGAAAGCGUGGGGCAGCAAACAGGAUUAGAUACCCUGGUAGUCCACGCUGUAAACGAUGUCGAUUUUGGAGGUUGUGCCCUUGAGGCGUGGNUUCCGGAGCUAACGNGUUAAAUCGACGCCUGGGAGUACGGCCGCAA